CCCAUAGUCAGCGUUGGGGGGUAGGAACGGCUUCAUACAGGAGUUGGUGCGCAGUUACCCGGCUCCUAUAUGACGCCUUUCUUCACCCUCCAGCC
rnacentral:pre_miRNA from 12 species